rnacentral:lncRNA from 1 species
CUGUGGUCCUCGUUCAUACUUGAACAGUUUGUGCAUCAUCAACGACCAGCUCUUCAUCAAAAUGGCUACAACGGAGCAGAUCAGCAGAGCUUUUGUGCCCCACCCCCUUCCUCCAGCCCAGUGCCCACCCUCACUGCCCCACAGCAGGAGAUGCUCAGCACCUUCUCCCUGAAGUCAGGCAUGAACCUGGAAUGAUCCCUGAAGUGUCUGCAGGACAACAAGUGGGACUUGAACAAAGCAGCACAUAUAUUCACUCAGUUAAAGACGGCGAGAAAGAUCCCAGACGUUCCUAAAGUAAAACAUCUUUGUAUUUUUGUAUUAAAGGGGACAUAUGAUGCUAAAUCCACUUUUUUAGCCCUUAAAUGCAUUUUGAUGUAUAUUUAGAUUGUUUAGAAGCACAGAAAAGUUCACAUUAAUCUCUUCAGGUGCUCCGUUGAUAUCUUUAGAUUCUGUUUUGGUCAUAUUUUUCAAUCUGUUUCGAUUUUUCUAUUCUGUAUUACAUUUUUUGAACAAUAACGUCACAGUAUUUGCAGCAGAACUGCCAAAUUAGUUCAUCAACUCCAGGCCAAACACUUCGAGCAAUCCGCCAUUUUUAUUUCUCACUUUUAUUUUGUAGUCCAAGCUCCAGGAUGCAGAAGUUACGAGAGGAUAAGUCAAAAUGUUGGGUUGUUGGAUGUAGUAACCCACACACUUCAUUACACC